UACGAAGGGGGGCUAGCGUUGCUCGGAAUUACUGGGCGUAAAGGGCGCGUAGGCGGCACUGUUAGUCAGGCGUGAAAUUCCUGGGCUCAACCUGGGGACUGCGCUUGAUACGGCAGAGCUAGAGGAUGGAAGAGGCUCGCGGAAUUCCCAGUGUAGAGGUGAAAUCGUAGAUAUUGGGAAGAACACCGGUGGCGAAGGCGGCGAGCUGGUCCAUUACUGACGCUGAGGCGCGACAGCGUGGGGGAGCAAACAGG
rnacentral:rRNA from 1 species